rnacentral:misc_RNA from 1 species
GAAAUGCGAUAAGUAAUGUGAAUUGCAGAAUUCCGUGAAUCAUCGAAUCUUUGAACGCACAUUGCGCCCCCUGGUAUUCCGGGGGGCAUGCCUGUUCGAGCGUUAUUGCAACCCUCAAGCCCGGCUUGUGUUAUGGGCGAACGUCCCCCUCCAGGGGAGGGACGCGUCUGAAAAUCAGUGGCUAGGCCGCGAUUCCGGCGCCUGAGCGAAUGGGACCUCCAGCGCUCCUAGGGUCGGCCGGCACCUCUGACCUUACAGAAUUAGGGGCUCCCUUUAGGGGCCCCUACAAGGUUGACCUCGGAUCAGGUAGGGAUACCCGCUGAACUUAA